rnacentral:rRNA from 1 species
CUGGAGGGGAGAGUGGCGAACGGGUGAGUAACACGUAGGUGACCUGCCUCGAACACGGGGAUGACUGCUGGAAACGGUAGCUAAUACCCGAUGGUCUCGAUAAUUCGGUUUGUCGAGUAAAGGCUCCGGCGCUUUGAGAGGGACCUGCGGCCCAUCAGCUAGUUGGUAGGGUAACGGCCUACCAAGGCGAAGACGGGUAAGGGGCGUGAGAGCGUGACCCCCCACACUGGCACUGGGACACGGGCCAGACUCCUACGGGAGGCAGCAGUGAGGAAUAUUGCGCAAUGAGCGAAAGCUAGACGCAGCAACGCCGCGUGGGUGAUGAAGGCCUUCGGGUCGUAAAACCCUUUUCUGGGGGAAGAGUAAGGACGGUACCCCAGGAAUAAGCCUCGGCUAACUAUGUGCCAGCAGCCGCGGUAAUACAUAGGAGGCAAGCGUUAUCCGGAUUUACUGGGCGUACAGAGCGUUGAGGCGGCUUCGUAAGUUGGACGUGAAAGCUCCCGGCUUAACUGGGAGAGGCCGUUCAAUACUGCGGGGCUUGAGGACAGCAGAGGGGGGUGGAAUUUCCGGUGUAGUGGUGAAAUGCGUAGAUAUCGGAAGGAACAGCAGUGGCUAAGGCGGGCCCCUGGGCUGCUCCUGACGCUGAAGGCGAAAGCUAGGGUAGCGAACGGGAUUAGAAACCCCGGUAGUCCUAGCCGUAAACGAUGGAUACUAGGUGUAGGAGGUUAAAACUCCUUCUGUGCCGGAGCUAACGCGUUAAGUAUCCCGCCUGGGGAGUACGCUCGCAAGGCUAAAACUCAAGGGAAUUGACGGGGGCCCGCACAAGCAGCGGAGCGUGUGGUUUAAUUCCGAUGCAACGCGAAGAACCUUACCAGGGCUUGACAUGUAGGUAGUAGUGAAGCGAAAGCGGAACGAUCCUUCGGGAAGCCUACACAGCUGCUGCAUGGCUGUCGUCAGCUCGUGCCGUGAGGUGUUAGGUUAAGUCCUGUAACGAGCGCAACCCCUGCCGUUAGUUACAAGUGUCUAACGGGACUGCCCGGCAAAACUGGGAGGAAGGUGGGGAUGACGUCAAGUCAGCAUG